GGCUCUUUAUAUGAGAACCGGAGAAGACACUCUUGUCACGAACCAAACCAAAGACCAUACACAUUAAUUGAAAAAGAUUCAAAGGCUUAAGCAUAAACCAUAACCAUUCAUUCAUACCGACUAACCGAGGAGAUAGAAAGGGAGAAUAGAGUUGAAACCGUAAGAGCUCUGAAAUCUCAAGACGCCAAUAACCAAAACUAUUCGCGACACCCUAACCACAUAUUUGAACCAGAAAUUACUUCCUUCGCGAACCAGAUCAAAAGUAUGAACCAAGAGUGGGCACACCUUCGAACCAAAACUCAUCACAAGUCAACCCAACCAUAAUUCUAAACAAGAACAGAACCGCAAAGCACUA
rnacentral:lncRNA from 1 species